rnacentral:tRNA from 1 species
GGUUCUAUUUAGCACUUCUGAACUUUGAAUCCAGCGACCUGGGUUCGAAUCCCGGUAGGACCU